GAUCCUAGAGGAAUUGUGAAUCGAGUCAGGACAUGCAUCAAUAGCAAAGCAAAUGUACUUGGAAGAUAUGACGUGUUUUAUAUUUUAAUCACUAAUAUUUUCCCUUGUGAUGAAGGCUAAGAUUCGAGAACCUAUCUUUUUGAAAAAAAGAGGGAUGAUAUGAUCCUAGACAGCCCAUAAUUAGUUCCAAAGAUGCAAUCUUAUACCAAAGAGGAAUGCCUAAAAUAGGAAAGUAAUUUCAUCCCUGAACGCUUUCCUAAUUUGGAUUAUUCCAAGAGAUGGGCCAAAAUUUUCUAACGUAGAAGGCUUAAGGCCCAAGUACGAUUAAUGGGCUUGAAGAAUUGUAAGAAAGCCCAUGCAAGAAGAGGAGGCCCACACGUGCAUUGGGCAUGCUGCCUAGCCUACACAGCCCACAAACACGCCGGCGUGCCUGUGCCGACCACGUGCAUGAGCAUCCGGGAGAGCUCACGAAUGCAGCCCUCUAGGCUCGCGUAGAAUUGACCGUGCGCGCAUAGGCCCAAGGGGUUGAAUGCACACACCCCAUGCGGAUGAGCUCACGGAUGGCCCAACCGACCCAACUAACCCAAGCCCACCAGCCCACGACUCCCGCUGAACUUUUCCCAUGUAGUGCGAGCGAAUCGGCUGGCCCUACCCAUCCGGUUGACCCAAACUCAGCUAACCCUUUCCCUGUUUUAAUUAU
rnacentral:lncRNA from 1 species